GUUCUCUCUUUGGUUAGGCGAGCUGAUCUCGCUGCGCUCGCUGCUUUUGUGAGCACGAACGCGCAGUAUUAUAUUAUUAUCUUUCUCCGUAGCCGAACACGCUGAGAAAUUGAAUUUGCCUCAGAGCCGUGAAUUAGCGUUGGGAUGCAUAUAGCGGAGCUUAAAGCUCGAAUGCAAAAAUCCUUCGUAACCUUAUUUCUGGUCUGUUCUGCUGCAUUGUGUCAGGGCUCGUUUCGGGGACGUUAAAAUCGUUAAAUGCUCCAUCGAACCAAUUCGAGAGGAGACACUUCCGGACGGAUCGUCCUCGCUCCUGUAAUGUUGAACUUGAAAAAAAUGAAAUGAAAGAUAAGCACAUUUUUUCAUUCGUACCUGAACCACAAUUUUUAUUGCUUCCUUAAUAUUCACACGUUCACUGAAUCCCAUACAUUCGUGAUAAAAAUAAAUACUUUUAUAAAAAUAUAAAUCUUGGUUCGACGUGAAUUUUUAUCGAGAAAAAUUCUCGUCCCAGUUUGCCAUUCGUUCUCUUCCCUAUUCGUUAUUUCCCCCACGAUUAUCAGCGAGUAACAGAACGAUAUUUACAAGUAGACAUAAAUCUCCGUGUUACUUUGGAGCGUAGGAAAAAACUGGUAAAUUCUUAGUAGAGAAAAUAGUGAGGAAUUUAAACGAUUGAACAUUUUUAGUUUAUGCGAAUGUUCGGGGAGUUGUAUGAACUCGCGAAAAAUGAACAAUUUUCUAAA